CCCUUUGGCGGGGGACAACAAUCCGAAAGGAUUGCUAAUACCGCAUAAGUCUAUAUGGCCUCCGGGAUAUAUAGGGAAAGAUGGCCUCUAUUUAUAAGCUAUCACCGAAGGAUGAGUCCGCGUUGCAUCAGCUUGUUGGUGGGGUAAUGGCCUACCAAGGCAAAGACGCAUAGCUGGUCUGAGAGGAUGAUCAGCCACACUGGGACUGAGAUACGGCCCAG
rnacentral:rRNA from 1 species